rnacentral:tRNA from 1 species
GCAGCUGUGGUGUAAUUGGUAGCCACGCCAGACUUAGGAUCUGGUGCCGCGAGGCGUGGGGGUUCGAGUCCCUUCAGCUGUAC